AAAGUGUUAUUGAUGGAAAGAAGUAUUUACAAAAUAAAAAAUGAGGGCCAAGACGAAGUCGGAUGGUCAGUCAAGGCGGACAGGCAAUCAACGCCGUCUCCUUAACCUCUGACUGGAUUUGAGAAUUGUUGUUGAAGAAAAAACUGG